AAAGACAAAUGAUUGAUCAGGGAAGAGUUUAACAGUAUGGAUUUUCAAAAUCAGUUUGCAAUUUGCUUCUCACUUUGUUUGUGUAAGGCAUGCUGUUAACUUCAGACCAUGUGUCUCAAGUCAACAUUACUCGAAGUCUUUCAAGAACUUGAGGAUUUUCAUCAAGGAAUUUGACAAGCCAUGUUAGAGCAGCUGUUGUAGUAUCAUGACCUGCAACUAGCAGAGUUAAUAUAUUAUCCUUGAGUUGUUGAUCAGUAAGUUUAUUUUCAUUAUCUUCCCCAUCUCCUGCUUUCGUAUGCUUCAUUAUCAGUGACUCUAAGAAAUCUUGUUGGAAGCUUUUUCCACUUCUCCUCAUUGCAAUGGUUGAAUCUAGCAUUUCGUACAUCCUAUCCCUAGCCUGAACAAGAGAAAUAUCGCAUUAAUGUCAUGUUUUGAUUUAUAUAUUUGAAUGGUCGUGUUUGGAUUUCAAAUAUUUAUGAAUUUUCCACAACAAAUCCUUCAAAUAACUUUCCAACAUUUCAAAUAUACUCCAUACUAUAUCCUAGAUUUCACAUCAACUCAAGAAUCCAAACAUAUUACUGAAAAAGGUAUGCUUCUGGUUUUUUAACUUCAAUGGCAAAGAUCAUUUGAUUCAUAGUUAUGCUACUGCAAGAAGUAGUUGAGGUCUGAUUAAUUGAUACCUUAAUACCAUUAUGAAAAGCUGUUCCAGGGAUCUUGAAUGGCAGUGAUGCAAAGGAAGAAGAGAUUAUUUUGAAAUUUGACCGAAACUUCUCCUGCUCUUCUCCUGCGGGUUCUAGGCUCAUUAUCAUGUUGCCAAUUACUUUGAGAGUGAACUGCAAAAGGGCAAAGGAUAUCAUUACAUCCCCACAAACAAUGCAAAAGAAAAAAUGUUUGUUUUUUUGGUUUAUCUUCAAGACUUAACUGUAGAAGCUUCUUCAAGGACGAACACUUUUCGUCCAGGCCACUGAUCUAAUGUUUCAAUAGCUAGAGUAUUAAUGAAAUGAAAAUAUUUCUUUAGCCCAUCAACUGAUAAAGGUUCUGCAAUCAGUCUCCGUAGCCUUUUGUGUGCUUCUCCAGUGGUUUGAAGCAAGCUUGUAGGGCCUAGCACCUGCUGCCCUGUAUAGAAAAGGUUCAAGCUCACCAUUCCAUCUUUUCCUGUCAAUAAGAUUUUACUCGCUUCUCUUCCUGUCAUGAAGACGGUGAAUCUACCCAGGACAAAGCUCUUGAAAACCUUUCCAUACCUGAAAUAAAAAUCAUGAGAAUGCAAAAACAGGAGUAUUGAGUUUGAAUUUCAUGGUUACUUACUUUUGUUGCCUCUUUUUCAUGAAGCUGAAUAUACCAGAUGGACUAGAAAACUCAGAUAGGAAUGAGAAGCUUUCACCUACAAUAGGCCAACCCAAGCUUCCUGGAAUGUACUCCAUUGCUUUUGGAGAAAUCCAUAAAUGCAGCAAGUAAAAAGCUAACACAAGCAAGCUUACAAGAGCAAUGAUGAGUAAUAUGGUGGGAUCCAUUGCUAGUCAAUUGAUCACCUCAGGAGGACCAAAUGUUGAGCUUACAAUAAUGAUCUGUUAGACACAAACACACAAAUAAUGUAUAUGUAUAUAAGGUUAUAAACAAUAAAUUCUUCUGCAUA